UACGGAGGGGGCCAGCGUUGUUCGGAAUCAUUGGGCGUAAAGGGCGCGUAGGCGGCCAAUCAAGUCCGACGUGAAAUUCCCCGGCUCAACCGGGGGCCUGCGUCGGAUACUGCUUGGCUUGAGUCCCGGAGAGGGUAGUGGAAUUCCCAGUGUAGCGGUGAAAUGCGUAGAUACUGGGAGGAACACCGGUGGCGAGGGCGGCUACCUGGACGGGUACUGACGCUGAGGCGCGAAAGCUAGGGGAGCAAACAGG
rnacentral:rRNA from 1 species